UACGUAGGGGGCAAGCGUUAUCCGGAAUUACUGGGCGUAAAGGGUGAGUAGGCGGUUAGAUAAGUCAUAUGUGAAAGCCCGGUGCUUAACACCGGGACUGCAUAAGAAACUGUAUAACUAGAGUACGGGAGAGGUAAGCGGAAAUUCCUAGUGUAGCGGUGAAAUGCGUAGAUAUUAGGAAGAACACCAGUGGCGAAGGCGGCUUACUGGACCGAGACUGACGCUGAGGCACGAAAGCGUGGGGAGCGAACAGG
rnacentral:rRNA from 1 species